CGUGAGCCCGCGCAGACCCGGAGCCGAGACACAAACUCCACACAAAUAUUAAAGAUUUCAGCACAAACCUGUUAUUUAACCAGGCCGGAGGAGGAGUGUGAACAAAACACGAGGUACAGGCUUUACCAGGACAGUUUGGGUUUUAUUCCCACUGGGAGAACGUGGGAGAAGGUUCUGGACCCUGAACCGCCCAUGAGACACGGAGACACGGAGACACGGAGACAUGGAAGGAGAGUCCACAGGGAGCGCGGGAAACACGGCACGUAAAGCGGCACGUGAUCCUUUCUCCACACCUACAAACUCACUGCCAAGGCUGAGCCCCACUUCCUGUUGCAUGGUUAUUGUGGCGGGACAACUUCCUUUAAGUUCUGUCGUCUCUUUACACAUCGUCCUGCUCCUGUCCUCCGGUGAGACCAUCGCUUGUGGAAACUUUUAACACAGCAGAUCUAACAAAGAUUACCAGACGGAUUUGUUCAUCUGUCAGUCAUCUCAACAUCUGCUCAACGGUCAGUUUUUUUCCACUGGAUCAUUCUGCUGCAGUACAACAAUCCACAGCUGGAUGAGGAGCUCCACGUUCUCCUCAUGAUCACGUAACUCAAAUGGACCAUAACACUCUCUACACCCGCUUCUGAACUGGACUACUGUCUUGUACUGUUUAAAGUAUAUCUACCUAUAAAUAAUUAAAUAAUAUAAAAUAAA